GUGCUCGCUUCGGCAGCACAUAUACUAAAAUUGGAACCAUACAGAGAAGAUUAGCAUGGCCCCUGUGCAAGGAUGACAUGCAAAUUCGUGAAGCGGUCCAUGUUUUU
rnacentral:snRNA from 1 species